AGCGCCGGGUGCGUAACGCGUGGGAAUCUGCCCUUGGGUUCGGAAUAACGUCGGGAAACUGACGCUAAUACCGGAUGAUGACGUUAAGUCCAAAGAUUUAUCGCCCGAGGAUGAGCCCGCGUCCGAUUAGGUAGUUGGUGGGGUAAGAGCCUACCAAGGCGACGAUCCUUAGCUGGUCUGAGAGGAUGAUCAGCCACACUGGGACUGAGACACGGCCCAGACUCCUACGGGAGGCAGCAGUGGGGAAUAUUGGACAAUGGGCGCAAGCCUGAUCCAGCCAUGCCGCGUGAGUGAUGAAGGCCUUAGGGUUGUAAAGCUCUUUUAUCCGGGACGAUAAUGACGGUACCGGAGGAAUAAGCCCCGGCUAACUUCGUGCCAGCAGCCGCGGUAAU
rnacentral:rRNA from 1 species